rnacentral:rRNA from 1 species
AAUUUUGGACAAUGGGGGAAACCCUGAUCCAGCCAUCCCGCGUGUAUGAUGAAGGCCUUCGGGUUGUAAAGUACUUUUGGCAGAGAAGAAAAGGUAUCUCCUAAUACUAGAUACUGCUGACGGUAUCUGCAGAAUAAGCACCGGCUAGCUACGUGCCAGCAGCCGCGGUAAUACGUAGGGUGCAAGCGUUAAUCGGAAUUACUGGGCGUAAAGCGUGUGGAGGGGGUUCGGAAAAAAAGACGUUAAACCCCAGGCCUCAACCUUGGAACUGCUUUUUUAACUGCCGAGCUAGGGUAUGUCAGAGGGGGGUAAAAUUCCACGUUUAGCAGUGAAAUGCGUAAAUAUGUGGAGGAAUACCGAUGGCGAAGGCAGCCCCCUGGGAUAAAACUGACGCUCAGACAGGAAGGCGGGGGGAGCAAACA